CCUACGUGAGGCAGCAGUGGGGAAUAUUGCGCAAUGGGCGAAAGCCUGACGCAGCGACGCCGCGUGAGGGAUGAAGGUCUUCGGAUCGUAAACCUCUGUCAGCAGGGAAGAACGGUCACUGUGCUAAUCAGCAGUGAAUUGACGGUACCUGCAAAGGAAGCACCGGCUAACUCCGUGCCAGCAGCCGCGGUAAUACGGAGGGUGCGAGCGUUAAUCGGAAUUACUGGGCGUAAAGCGCUCGUAGGCGGUAUGUCAAGUCAAGGGUGAAAUCCCCGCGCUCAACGUGGGAACUGCCUUUGAAACUGGCAAACUGGAGUGUGCGAGAGGAUAGUGGAAUUCCAGGUGUAGGAGUGAAAUCCGUAGAUAUCUGGAGGAACAUCAGUGGCGAAGGCGACUAUCUGGCACAUAACUGACGCUGAGGAGCGAAAGCGUGGGUAGCAAACAGGAUUAGAUACCCCAGUAGUC
rnacentral:rRNA from 1 species